GCCGGGCAUGGUGGCGGGUGCCUGUAAUCCCAGCUACUCAGGAGGCUGAGGCAGGAGAAUCGUUUGAACCCAGGAGGCGGAGGCUGCAGUGAGCCAAGAUCGUGCCACUGCACUCCAGCCUGGGCGACAGAACGAAACUCUGUCUCAA
ensembl:misc_RNA Metazoa_SRP Metazoan signal recognition particle RNA